rnacentral:rRNA from 1 species
AGAGUUUGAUCAUGGCUCAGAUUGAACGCUGGCGGCAUGCCUUACACAUGCAAGUCGAACGGCAGCACGGGAGCAAUCCUGGUGGCGAGUGGCGAACGGGUGAGUAAUACAUCGGAACGUGCCCAGUCGUGGGGGAUAACGCAGCGAAAGCUGUGCUAAUACCGCAUACGAUCUACGGAUGAAAGCAGGGGAUCGCAAGACCUUGCGCGAAUGGAGCGGCCGAUGGCAGAUUAGGUAGUUGGUGGGGUAAAGGCUCACCAAGCCGACGAUCUGUAGCUGGUCUGAGAGGACGACCAGCCACACUGGGACUGAGACACGGCCCAGACUCCUACGGGAGGCAGCAGUGGGGAAUUUUGGACAAUGGGCGCAAGCCUGAUCCAGCCAUGCCGCGUGCAGGACGAAGGCCUUCGGGUUGUAAACUGCUUUUGUACGGAACGAAACGGCUCUUUCUAAUACAGGGGGCUAAUGACGGUACCGUAAGAAUAAGCACCGGCUAACUACGUGCCAGCAGCCGCGGUAAUACGUAGGGUGCAAGCGUUAAUCGGAAUUACUGGGCGUAAAGCGUGCGCAGGCGGUGAUGUAAGACAGUUGUGAAAUCCCCGGGCUCAACCUGGGAACUGCAUCUGUGACUGCAUCGCUGGAGUGCGGCAGAGGGGGAUGGAAUUCCGCGUAGCAGUGAAAUGCGUAGAUAUGCGGAGGAACACCGAUGGCGAAGGCAAUCCCCUGGGCCUGCACUGACGCUCAUGCACGAAAGCGUGGGGAGCAAACAGGAUUAGAUACCCUAGUAGUCC